UUCACAGUGGCUAAGUUCGUC
rnacentral:miRNA from 3 species